rnacentral:rRNA from 1 species
CGGGGGGAAGCCUAACGAUGCAGUCGAGCGGGAACUUCGGUUCUAGCGGCGGACGGGUGAGUAAUGUAUAGGGAGCUGCCCGACGGAGGGGGAUACCAGUUGGAAACGACUGUUAAUACCGCAUAACGUCUACGGACCAAAGUAUGGGACCUUCGGGCCAUAUGCUGUCGGAUGCACCUAUAUGGGAUUAGCUAGUUGGUGGGGUAACGGCUCACCAAGGCGACGAUCCCUAGCUGGUUUGAGAGGAUGAUCAGCCACACUGGAACUGAGACACGGUCCAGACUCCUACGGGAGGCAGCAGUGGGGAAUAUUGGACAAUGGGCGCAAGCCUGAUCCAGCCAUGCCGCGUGUGUGAAGAAGGCCUUCGGGUUGUAAAGCACUUUCAGCGAGGAGGAAGGGGUGUGUGUUAAUAGCACAUAUCUUUGACGUUACUCGCAUAAGAAGCACCGGCUAACUCCGUGCCAGCAGCCGCGGUAAUACGGAGGGUGCAAGCGUUAAUCGGAAUUACUGGGCGUAGAGCGCACGUAGGCGGUGUGUUAAGUUGGAUGUGAAAGCCCCGGGCUCAACCUGGGAAUUGCAUUCAAGACUGGCACGCUAGAGUAUGUGAGAGGGGGGGUAGAAUUCCGAGUGUAUCGGUGAAAUGCGUAGAGAUUUGGAGGAAUACCAGUGGCGAAGGCUGCCCCCCCUGGGCACAAUACUGACGCUCAUGUGCCAAAGCGUGUGGAGCAAACAGGAUUAGAUACCCUGGUAGUCCACGCCGUAAACGAUGUCUACUAGCUGAUCGUGGUCCUUGUACUGUGAGUAGCGUCAGCAUAACGCACCUACGUAGUACCGCCCUGGUGGAGUAGGUCGUCUAUGAUUGAAAACUCACAUGAUGUAGACCGGGGCCCUGUCACAAUGCGAUUGUAGCAUGUCGCUUACGUCGGACGCUACGCGAGUACCUACCAUACUCUGACGAUCUAUCGAUAUUGCACAGAUGCAUGUGUGCCAUCAGGUACGGCUAUGACUCGUGCAUGCAAUGCUGUCAUCAGUCGAGUUUAGGCAAGUCAGUCUAGGUCCGUAACGAGCCUAGCCAUAC